CGGGUGAGUAACGCGUGAGGAACCUGCCUCAAAGAGGGGGACAACAGUUGGAAACGACUGCUAAUACCGCAUAAGCCCACGGCUCGGCAUCGAGCAGAGGGAAAAGGAGCAAUCCGCUUUGAGAUGGCUCGCGUCCGAUUAGCUAGUUGGUGAGGUAACGGCCCACCAAGGCGACGAUCGGUAGCCGGACUGAGAGAUUGAACGGCCACAUUGGGACUGAGACACGGCCCAG
rnacentral:rRNA from 1 species